GUGCUCGCUUCCGCAGUACAUAUACUAAAAUUGGAACGAUACAGAGAUUAGCAUGGCCCCUCCACAAGGAUGACAUGCAAAUUCGUGAAGCAUUCCAUAUUUUU